GAGAUGGAUUGGUGCCUUCGGGAACUCUGACACAGGUGCUGCAUGGCUGUCGUCAGCUCGUGUCGUGAGAUGUUGGGUUAAGUCCGUAACGAGCGCAACCUUGUCCUUAGUUACCAGCACGUUAUGGUGGGCACUCUAAGGAGACUGCCGGUGACAAACCGGAGGAAGGUGGGGAGUGACGUCAAGUCAUCAUGGCCCUUACGGCCUGGGCUACACACGUGCUACAAUGGUCGGUACAAAGGGUUGCCAAGCCGCGAGGUGGAGCUAAUCCCAUAAAACCGAUCGUAGUCCGGAUCGCAGUCUGCAACUCGACUGCGUGAAGUCGGAAUCGCUAGUAAUCGUGAAUCAGAAUGUCACGGUGAAUACGUUCCCGGGCCUU
rnacentral:rRNA from 1 species